CCUUGAGGCUGACAGUGUUGCACCCGGCAGGCUCAGAGAUACUGGUCCGGUUCCAGCCUGUCGCUAUCCAGCAAUGGACCAGCACACACGGCGUAGAUGGAACAAACAAGUCAAUGCUGUGGUCAUUGAGUGUUACGACCUGAGCAAACCUGUAGAUGAAAAUGGUACUCAUAUUAGGGGAUACCGACAACGUAUGUAUGUGACCACCGAAAAUCCA